GAAAGGAAGGGUACCCCUGCCCUAGGACCCUGGAAUUCUCCUUCCUGGGUUCCCCCCACAUCACAGGCAGGAAGCACACCUGUAAAUCUAGCCUCUGACUCCCUGCUGUAUGCAUGAGACAGUCACUUUCUCGACUUGGGAAGCCUGACCUCCAAGGCAGAGAGUGAAGAAGUGCCCCCAGCCCCAGGAAGGGCAGCCAGGUGCUGGUUCAGACCUAGACUUCACUACUCCAGGCCUUCAGGGAGGAACUGGCAGAGUUUCGGAAAAAGCUGGAUACUCAUAAGGGCCCUGUGAGCUGUGCCCUGGUGGCCCUGAUGGCCCAUGGGGGGCCACAGGGGCAGCUGCUGG
rnacentral:lncRNA from 1 species